GACGUAGGGCGCGAGCGUUGUCCGGAAUUAUUGGGCGUAAAGAGCUCGUAGGCGGCUUGUCGCGUCGACUGUGAAAACCCGUGGCUCAACCAUGCGGUCUGCAGUCGAUACGGGCAGGCUAGAAUUCGGUAGGGGAGACUGGAAUUCCUGGUGUAGCGGUGAAAUGCGCAGAUAUCAGGAGGAACACCGGUGGCGAAGGCGGGUCUCUGGGCCGAUACUGACGCUGAGGAGCGAAAGCGUGGGGAGCGAACAGG
rnacentral:rRNA from 1 species